GCUCUAAUAAAAUUUUAUUAAGUGUUAAAAAGUCAUAAAAAGUGAAAUAACAUAAACUACAAAAUUUACUGUCCUCAGCAAAUGCUGAAAAUAUCGUCCACAGUAAAAUUAAAUUAGCAUGUAAUAGACAGAGAAGCAGUGUGGAGUGGAUUUAAAAGAGGAUCCAGGGAAAAUGACACUGUAACCCGAGCUGGGUCACGGGGAUUUAAUUCGGAUUUUUCUCCCCAAAUGUGAAUAAAUGUGCCGAUUACAGACAAGAGCUCGGGGUUACUGGAGUCUCACACAUUGUCAAUACUUUGGAAGAAAUAAUAUAUUGCAGAUUGUAAUGAGCUCGGCGUCCGGCGCGCGUCGCGGGGCCGCUGCCGGGGGAAGGCGUCCGCUAGGGCGCGCUGCGAGACCGGGAAUGCCCGCCCGGCGCCCCGCCGCCCCGGCCGCGCGCACACGCCGUGCCCUCGCCCCCCUCGAAAUCAUAUUUACAGUUCUUUUUUUUCCCCCCUCUCCUGUGACAUUUUCUCCAAAUCGGAAAAUGAAGUGUAAGUCGAGCUUUGCCGCAGGCGGCCCUCGGUCUCCGCUUUCCGGCUCGGGGUCCCGGAGUGAGAUGCGCUGCCCCCGGCAGUGCGAACCCCGGGGGACGGAGUGGGGCCCCCAGCCCAGCACCCCGGGCCCGGCCGCUCCGCCAGCGGAGACCGCGGAGUCCGGCUCUGCGCCGCGCGCGGGUGCGCUCCGGACGCGGCGAGUCGCAGGCCUCGCCGCGGGUUCAAGUGCAUCCCCGCGGCUGGAGCCCGCGGCUCUGAGAGCGAGUUCUGCCCUGCUCAGCCCCCUCUGGGAGUUCUGUGCGCCCGCGGCUCCCGGGCCCCUCUCCCCGACCCCGCAGCGCGCUGGGCCGCCGGCUGGGGGCAGGCACCCGGCUCGCGCUCCUCCUGGCCCGGGCCGGGCCCCCGGCGCGGCGCUGCCCCCGGGCCGAGCAGGAGGCUCCGCCUGGAAAAGAAGUCAGACUUCCUCUCCACGCUGCUCCGACUGGAAUCUGGAAUCGGCAGGAAAUUGCUCCAACACCCGGGCCGCGCCUUUGCAGUCAGCCCUCGCUUUGCUGAAGAGAAGCAGCUCCCACCAAAGUCUUGCCUCCCCCUCCCCCCGAAAGCCCCGCGCAGAUCGCAGUUCACCUGUCCUUCAGAAAAAAUAUUUUCAUAACUAUUAA
rnacentral:lncRNA from 1 species